GUAGGGGGCAAGCGUUGCUCGGAAUUACUGGGCGUAGAGGGUCUGUAGGCGGUGCGGUAAGUCGACGGUGAAAUCUCCCGGCUCAACUGGGAGGGGCCCGGCGAAACUGCCGUACUUGAGGGCCGGAGGGGCGAGUGGAAUUACUGGUGUAGCGGUGAAAUGCGUAGAUAUCAGUAGGAACACCGGAGGCGAAGGCGGCUCGCUGGACGGCACCUGACGCUGAGAGACGAAAGCUGGGGGAGCAAACAGGAUUAGAUACCCUGGUAGUCCCAGCCCUAAACGUUGGUCACUAGACGUACCCCCGGGUUGCCCGGGGCGUGUCGUAGCUAACGCGAUAAGUGACCCGCCUGGGGAGUACGGUCGCAAGGCUG
rnacentral:rRNA from 1 species